AUGGCUUGUCCUGCUAACAUGGUGUUUGGAGAUGCCAGAGACAAGGGCACACGUGGAAGUUCUGUGGGAGGUUUAGGGCCAGACUUGGACACCUCUCCUGGUCAUACCCUUGCACACAUCACCCACACUCAGUCCUAUGGUCUCUGCUCGUGUGGUCUUGAGCUGUGGAUCCCAGAGGAAGAAACAGCCACUGGGAAGAAGAAAACUCUGUGGAUAGUUAAAAAAAGAUUUUUGGCUCUCUCCGCGGUGGAGGCAGGGAAGCAGGUUGAUCCCGCCACUGAGGCCGCCACCGCCUGCGGGGAGCGAGGAGAGGCUGCAACCGGGGAGAAGUCGCCGGAGUCGCCGCCAGAGAGGUCCUGCUCUGCAAAGUGGUACAAUGGAAGGGACUAUGUUUUCAUUGAAUUUGGUGUUGAAGACAGUAAAGAUGUUAAUGUAAAUUUUGAAAAAUCUAAACUUACGUUCAGCUGUCUUGGCGGAAGUGAUAAUUUUAAACAUUUAAAUGAAAUUGAUCUUUUUCACUGCAUUGAUCCGAAGUUUAAUUGGCUUAGUGUGGACUUCAAUAAUUGGAAAGACUGAGAAGAUGAUUCAGAUGAAGACAUGUGUAAUUUUGAUUGCUUCUCUGAGAUGAUGAACAACAUGGGUGGUGAUGAGGAUGUAGAUUUACCAGAAGUAAAUGGAGCAGAUGAUGAUUCACAAGACAGUGAUGAUGAAAAAAUGCCAGAUCUGGAGGAAGGAAUAUUGUCGUCACCUGGAUUUUGAGAAAGCAAAAUAACUUCUGCAAGAUUUCAUAAUUGAGAGAAUUCCUGAGUUGAUAGCUCUAAAGGCAGAUGCUGUAUUUGCCUCCUUUAACCCAUUUUUCAACCUGUUUUGUUUUUUAAAAGGCUUUACUAAGGGUUUAUAAUGUACCAUUGUAUGGGGCAAUUUUAAGUCAGCUAAGGCAAUAACCUUAUGCAUGAACAUUUCCCAGACUUCCAUGAAGCUAUUGAGGUCCUAGGCAAUUGAUGCAGCAGUUGUGAUAAACACAUUUCACCUAAGUCUCCUUUCUUCGUAACAUAGAUACUGACAUGAUAGGGAAAGAGUACUGAAUUUUAGGUUUUAGAACAUGGACUCAAAAGUGACUGAAACAAAUUGGCUGAUACCUUAAACUGGUAACCUGCUGGUCCUCUGGUGCAUCCUUCAGGGUUGUUCACUGAAGUUUAUUUUUCAAAAAAUUUACUUCACAUUAUUGUAUGUAAGUGAUCAUUUGUCAGUGAUCCAGAUGUAUCUUAGCUAAAACUAGUGAAUGCCCUAACUUAGGUGGUUUUUGAAGCCUAUACAUUUGGUAUUGUUCGGCCCUUAAGCUUUUAUAUCUCUUAGCAUGGAGGACAAAGAAAGCUGUACAUUGUUGCUUGAGAGUCUGUACAUUUAGACCAGAUUUGUAUUCGCACUGUCAGUAUGGCAAAUGAGUGAAAAAAAAUGUUAAUACACUAUUGGAAUUUUUUAUUUCUUUUUUUGAUUCAGCUUAUACCAGGGUUGAAAACCUCAAUUUAUGUUCAUGACAGUGGGGAUUUUUUUAAAUGUCUACAUUUUUUCUAAUAAACUGUUGGAAGAC